GGUAGCGAAGGGCUGGAGGCAAACACCGAGCUCCCCCUGAGCCGCCUGGGAGCAGGGAGGGUUCUGCUACCCUGAGGGGCCCUCCCCGCGGGGCAGAGGGGACCAGCCCAACAUGGCUUCCAACACAGAGACCAGAAGGACCCAAUAAGAGACCGAAGACACGACUGAUAAUACAGAAAGGAGGGUGAUGCUGUGUGCAAGGCAGAUACAAGAUGGUUUUUCCAUAAGAGGAAGUGAUCAUGGCAACCAUGACCUUCUCUGACCUUCUCUCUUCCAAGAGGCUGUUGGGAAGGUGGGAUGACCUAGGAUUGACCUUGGACUUGACAUCACAGAAGCCAUUUCAACCUUCACAGGGUUUCCUCAGCAGUGCCCCGGAGCAGGGACCGCGCCAGCCAGCAGAAACAGCUAGUUGUUGUCUGCAGUGAAGAAUAAUUGGAAGCAUGGUGCCUGUUUCUUUUCCUGUGGGAGGAAGUCACAGCAUCUACUUCUGAAUCUGUGCUUGCCUUGAGGAAAAACGGCAUGGCACAGGAAUGUGGACGCUUUCAACCAGAGGAUUCUGUACGACGGUGUCGGCACACAAGGAGUGUUCCACUGACUGACCUCUUUUUGUUUUCAAAUGAAGAGGAGCCAAGAAUAGGACAGCUUGGGAAGCUCAUCCUCGUCUACGGCCAAACGUUGGUUUCUCAUUUCUAGAAGAUGAAAGAUGUGAUGACUCAGGAAAAACUUGCUGCUCGAGAUGUGAGUCUUCAGAUGUUCCUGCCGCCAUAUCUGACAGCUGCUGCCAAGAUUCCCUGGUGGGAUGGACUCUUAUACCUCAACAACCAGAAGCCCAAGUAAACUCUUCUAUAAAUUGAAUGACUCAUGCUUAAAAAAAAAAACAAAAAA
rnacentral:lncRNA from 1 species